UGUCCAUCAAUAUAUGCAGAUCUGCUGAGAGAAACAUUACAAAACUGAUAACAGAAAAAAAAAUGAAAGUCAUACUUGAUGUUGUUUUACUAUCUGUGGUUACACAAGGCUUUGUGUACGUUUACAACGAAGAGACAUUGAAGAAAAAUAACUUGGUUGCGGUUUUGUCAAAAUUAUAAAAAUCAUUUCUAUUUAUUUCAAUUAAUAACUCAACAGUUUUUCAGAUGGAGUUAGAAGUGUUAUUCAUUUUACUAUACGAGACGAUUAUGAAAUAUACGGUGAUCGAAUUCCUGAAAUUUGGAUUUUCGAGCUAAAGUUACAGGAUGCUUUUGCAAUAAGUGAUGAAAGAGUUCAAUUUUUUGAAUCCAAGCCACUUCCACUAGGCCAGUGGAUAAAUGUUCAUAUACGUCAACAAGUUCAAUCGGGAAAUACUUGUUUUUAUUAUUUAUUAAUAACAAAAAAAAGAAUAUAAAGUAGAAAAAUAUCAACAUAUUCGCUGGAGAUCCAUGGCAUGACGUCCAGAAUGGGUCCAUCAAACGUUUCAUAGUCUGAAAUAGGAAUAGUAGUGAGUUUUCUUCAAUUUUGUCUAAAUUUUGUUUUUAGGCUUUAUUGUGUUCUCGAUUUUAAAUAUAUAACAAGCAAAUCUUCUUUUAUUUGUUUUUAAAUUUA